GACGAACGCUGGCGGCGUGCUUAACACAUGCAAGUCGAACGGAAAGGCCCUGCUUUUGUGGGGUGCUCGAGUGGCGAACGGGUGAGUAACACGUGAGUAACCUGCCUUGACUUUGGGAUAACUUCAGGAAACUGGGGCUAAUACCGGAAAGGAGCCCCUGCUGCAUGGGUGGGUUUGGAAAGUUUCGGCGGUUGGGAAUGGCCUGGGGGCUUAUCAGCUUGUUGGUGGGGUGGGGGCUUACCAAGGCUUUGACGGGUAGCCGGCCUGAGAGGGUGACCGGCCACAUUGGGACUGAGAUACGGCCCAGACUCCUACGGGAGGCAGCAGUGGGGAAUAGUGCACAAUGGGCGGAAGCCUGAUGCAGCAACGCCGCGUGCGGGAUGACGGCCUUCGGGUUGUAAACCGCUUUCGCCUGUGACGAAGCGUGAGUGACGGUAAUGGGUAAAGAAGCACCGGCUAACUACGUG
rnacentral:rRNA from 1 species